UUAUUGAGUUGUGUUUUUUUUUUUUUUUUGCGUUUUUCAUCUCUGUCGAGAGAGAGACUUUUGUCGACAAAAAUGAGGGUGUGCGAUCUCUUUGAUUCCGGUGGUUCCGUCGAACUAGGAUUACGGUAAUGCAAAAUCCGUCUAUGAUCCGUUGUUAUCAUCAGGGUUCUUAAAGUUGGGAUUACGGUAAUGCAAAAUUAGGGUUCUUAGAAUUGGGAUUAGGGUAAUGUAAAAUUAGAAUUCUAUGAUCCGUUUGAUGUGUAGAACAGUAAGAAUUGAUGUGGUCAGAUUGAGAAUUGGUAAUUGAUCUGUUUGAGAAACUGGUAAUUGAUCUCUCAGACUUCUUCUUCUUCAUCUCAAGAGAAAUGACUGAAUCCAAGGUAGUGGUUCCAGAUGUCUGUGAUGGAUACUCAAUAUCUGCUUCAACACCAUCAAUGUCCAAUGUUGGGCAAGUUUCUUCUUUCAACCAACACCUCUCUGUGUGUGUAUAGAUUCAUGAAACAUUGUCAUAGAUGUUCAUGUUUUGCAAGUAAUACAAAAAUUUGAAUUUUUUUUUCUUAAGAACCAAUUGGUUCUUAACCAUUAGAAGACUAAUUUAUUAAGAUACUCUCAUUUCAUUCUUAA